GAAAGUUGGACUAAUACCGUAUACUGCAUAUUAUUCGCAUGAUUAAUAUGUAAAAGGAUGCUCUUUGGAGCACUCACAAAAGGAUGGGCCUGCGUUCCAUUAGUUAGUUGGUGAGGUAACGGCUCACCAAGGCAGCGAUGGAUAGCUGGUUUGAGAGAGUGAUCAGCCACACUGGGACUGAGAUACGGCCCAGACUCCUACGGGAGGCAGCAGUGAGGAAUAUUGCGCAAUGGAGGAAACUCUGACGCAGCAACGCCGCGUGGGGGAUGAAGUUCUAUGGAGCGUAAACCCCUGUAAGUAGGGACGAAAGGUAGAUAUUCGAAUAGGGUAUUUAUUUGACGGUACCUACAGAGUAAGCUCCGGCUAACUCCGUGCCAGCAGCCGCGGUAAUACGGGGGGAGCAAGCGUUGUCCGGAAUUACUGGGCGUAAAGGGCGUGUAGGCGGUUUAAUAAGUCAGAUGUUAAAGCCCCCGGCUUAACCGGGGAUAGUCAUUUGAAACUGUUAGGCUUGAGUGCGAGAGA
rnacentral:rRNA from 1 species